AGUGAACGCUGGCGGCAGGCCUAACACAUGCAAGUCGAGCGGCAGCGCGUCCGACCACCCUCGGGUGGUCGGAUGGCGGCGAGCGGCGGACGGGUGAGGAAUGCAUCGGAAUCUGCCUCGUUGUGGGGGAUAACGUAGGGAAACUUACGCUAAUACCGCAUACGACCUACGGGUGAAAGUGGGGGACCUUCGGGCCUCACGCGAUGAGAUGAGCCGAUGCCGGAUUAGCUAGUUGGCGGGGUAAAGGCCCACCAAGGCGACGAUCCGUAGCUGGUCUGAGAGGAUGAUCAGCCACACUGGAACUGAGACACGGUCCAGACUCCUACGGGAGGCAGCAGUGGGGAAUAUUGGACAAUGGGGGGCAACCCUGAUCCAGCCAUGCCGCGUGUGUGAAGAAGGCCUUAGGGUUGUAAAGCACUUUCAAUUGGGAGGAAAACCUGCCGGUCAAUACCCGGUAGCUUGACAUACCUUUAGAAGAAGCACCGGCUAACUCCGUGCCAGCAC
rnacentral:rRNA from 1 species